UACGUAGGGUGCAAGCGUUAAUCGGAAUUACUGGGCGUAAAGCGUGCGCAGGCGGUUAUGCAAGACAGAUGUGAAAUCCCCGGGCUCAACCUGGGAACUGCAUUUGUGACUGCAUAGCUAGAGUACGGUAGAGGGGGAUGGAAUUCCGCGUGUAGCAGUGAAAUGCGUAGAUAUGCGGAGGAACACCGAUGGCGAAGGCAAUCCCCUGGACCUGUACUGACGCUGAGAUACGAAAGCGUGGGGAGCAAACAGG
rnacentral:rRNA from 1 species